CAAAGACUGACUACCUUGUUUACUGUAGGAAGACGUGCUGUUUCUCACUGCCUGUGGAACCCCAAAUUAUGUUGCUCUUGAGGUGCUCACCGAUAAAGGUUAUGAUGGUACAACAGCUGAUAUAUGGUCUUGUGGGGUCAUUCCGAUUGUUCUUAUGGCUGGAUACUUACCUUUUGACGAGCCGAACCACAUGGCUUUGAAAGCAUUCAAGAACUUAGUUUUUCUAAGUGUUUUUUAUUUUUUAAUAUAUGUAAUCAUAGUUAAAUUUUUUUUUUUAUUAAUUUCUUUGUAUAUACUUUUGAACAUUUAAUUUUCAUUUAUGAAAUAUAUGACGUUAUUUCAUUCAA